UGCCAAUUCAACCCUAAACCCAUUUCAGCAGUUUGCAUCAAUUGCUCAGUUGCAUUUUCUUCAUGUCAUGCAAUGUGACUUCAACAGAUUGAACAAUACACCAUCGUCCUUCCCAACUGGACUACCAAUUCAGAUUUUGAUUAACAUAAUUUCAACUAGAUUAAGAAAACCCUUCUCUUGUUCUUUCAGCCCAACAAUUAAGACCAAGAUAAACCUACAAGCAUUU
rnacentral:misc_RNA from 1 species